rnacentral:lncRNA from 1 species
AAUCAGGAGAACAACAAGCAUGACUGGGAUUACCGUUGAUAUGAGCGACGUGGAAGGCCAGGAACCGACUGAUGAACUCCAAAACCCCGCCGCCAUGAACGAUGUGCAUGCAGUUGCAGUUGCAGCGACGGUGGUGGACGCACAAGGACCUGCUCCUGUGAUUAAUAAUAAUAAUUAUUAUGAUAUUGAAAAGAUGAACAUGAACAACUUAGGGUACCAUGAAGAGCACCGUUUCUUGGCCAUGUUAUCACCCAGAAACAACCACACAAGGAGGAAUUCCCCAUCUCAUGAUGUUGUGGAGACCGCUCACUUCCUUCGCACAUGUGGCCUCUGCAAGCGCCAGCUCGCUUCAGGCCGUGACAUCUAUAUGUAUAG